AAAGCAACGAAGUAAAUAUACAAUUAGUUUCGACCUAAUAAUAGAGGAAUAUACUCCCUGCUUUUA
rnacentral:tRNA from 1 species